CUCCUUUGAGACCGGCGCACGGGUGCGUAACGCGUAUGCAAUCUACCUUGGGCAGGGGGAUAGCCCAGAGAAAUUUGGAUUACUACCCCAUAGUAUUUUCAGAUGGCCUCAUUUGAUUAUUAAAGUUCCAACGGUACAAGAUGAGCAUGCUUCCCAUUAGCUAGUUGGUGUGGUAACGGCAUACCAAAGCAACGAUGGGUAUGGGUCCUGAGAGGGAGAUCCCCCACACUGGUACUGAGACACGGACCAGACUCCUACGGGAGGAAGCAGUGAGGAAUAUUGGUCAAUGGGCGCAAGCCUGAACCAGCCAUGCCGCGAGCAGGAUGACGGUCCUAUGGAUUGUAAACUGCUUUUGUACAGGAAGAAACCCUCCCUUGUAAGGGAGCUUGACGGUACUGUAAGAAUAAGGAUCGGCUAACUCCGUGCCAGCAGCCGCGGUAAUACGGAGGAUCCAAGCGUUAUCCGGAAUCAUUGGGUUUAAAGGGUCCGUAGGCGGUUUUAUAAGUCAGUGGUGAAAUCUGGUCGCUCAACGAUCAAACGGCCAUUGAUACUGUAAGACUUGAAUUACUUGGAAGUAACUAGAAUAUGUAGUGUAACGGUGAAAUGCUUAGAGAUUACAUGGAAUACCGAUUGCGAAGGCAGGUUACUACGAGUAUAUUGACGCUGAUGG
rnacentral:rRNA from 1 species